CGUUCACCCGGGAUGUUUUUGUUCAUGUAUUGAUCCAAAGAGAAUGAACUGAAUGGUGAGAGUAUAUUUUCAAAUUCAUUUCUUCUGAUUUUCAACGAUUACGUUUUAAAUUGUCCAGAGAUGGCAGGCAAAACUAAUGUCGUGCAUAUUCCCGCUAUUAGUUUUGGUUCAUUUUGAAGUUUGUUAUUGUAAACAAACCGCCGUUCACAAUUUCACCAUGUCAUGAAAUAUGAAAGAUUGAACAGCCAGCAACUAAAAUCAAAAGGGAAAACGGGUAACGCAUUUGAAUUGUUAUCGUUGUGACAUGAUGUCACUGACAUCGAACGAGUGAUCGAACCGAAAAUUGCGGCUCCCCCUCCCCAGCCGGUCAAGGUCUGGAAACCGGUGGCCUGUUUACGUAAAUAAUUUGUGCAUGGCAUUUAAAAAUUUGUGCAUGCAUUUGCACGUCUCGAAAAAAUCGAAAAAUGUGCAAAUUUCGAGUCUACUUUUUGUGGUGAAUUUGCUGUGAAUGUCAUUUUCACCACUCGACGGGGCAGCAUUUUUUCGCAUGUUCGAAUAUGCAAUUAUUUUGUGCAUAAUUUGUGCAUAAUGAAUAUGCCUUCGGAUUUGCGUUAUGUGGUCAAAUAAUGCCAGACCAGAUUUUCGCAAAAUAUGUGUGUGGUGAAUAUAAGUCAACUAUGAAAAAUAUUGCUUUUACAUGGCCCACACCGGUUGGGCACCACGACAACAUCGUGCAAGUCAUUGCGUUGCCAAAGUUCAAAAAUUUGGUGGUCAUCCCAAUAUGUCAUCACACGAGAAAGGCAGUGAGAAUAGACGCUGAUAUUUUGUAUCGUAUGAUGUGCGAAACCGGUACCAUUCCGCGUGAUCAAUAUGGUUGUCAACACUCAGGGUGCGACGUCACGUUAAAAUCAAAUGAAGCGUAUUAUUUCAAUAUGAUUUUCAACAUGGAGAAAAUCAAUCGAGUGUUGAAAGCAAACAAAAAAAUCGAACAUAUUCUCAGCGAUGGUGUAUCGGCACCGAUUCUGUACUCAGUGAAGAGAACCGUAGUCGACAAGUUGGUGAAAAAUGGUUUGGUGCGUACACGGUACUAUGGUGGCUUCUAUGUCUAUGAAUUUGGCAUCGAUUGGGGCAUGAAGACAUGGCAAUGCAACCGUUAUAGCCAAAUAAACGAGACACGAACGAAUUCUAAGAGCCCAGUCGGAAGAGAAUGCCCAGUCGGAAGAUAUUUUCUCACAAUCAGUUCACGGUUACCUGGAACGCCGUUCUUCGUCCAUCUCAACAGGAUUAAACGAACUGAGCGCUGGGCCUAGCCGUUCAACGUCGAUUUCGACUGGAUUAAACCAAAUCUACCUUCAAGCGACGGCUAAUCCACCUCCAUAUGCCUUUGUAAAUUCAUCUGAUUUCGAUCACGAAACUUCAUCGGGGGAGGAAAAUGACAAUGAGAAUGAGGAAUUGGCCGCAUUAUCAUCAUGUACCAAAACAUUUCGAGAAGGCUUGAGCGGCGAACAAACCAAAAUUCUACGAAAAUCGAUAUUUGCCGAAUGUGACAUGGAUUAUCUGGCGAAUUUGUUCAAUAAUCUGACCGUAUUCACCGAAGAAGAGCAAUUUGGGCCCAAAUUGGUGCCCAAACAAAGGCGCAGAUGAUUUAGGAUUCUUCAAUGCGAAUAAAACGACAUACUUAACCAUGAUUACCAACGAAAUACGAGUGGCCACUGACGUUGACCGAAUGAAUACGGCUUUAUACGAAUCAUCGCGCAAAACGGCAGCUCUGUUGAGCCGUAUAAAAUUGGUUGAAAGAUCAGAAAGAGAGUCAUUCGUCGCGUACGUUUUGCCACGGUAUUUAAUACCAAGGAAUCCGCCCGCCAAUGGUAAAAAGAUUCUCCAGAAGAGAUACCGUUUGCUGAUAGAUCAUACGGAUGGUUUGCGCCAUGCGCAGUACGACGUUUUAUUCAACGGUGCAUCCAAAAAGCUUUAUGUAAAAUGUCGAUUUGCUGAAUUGGAAGCAUACAACAUCAACAAAACACACUGUUCUUCGGAACUUGAUUUACCAGAAGGCAUCACCUUAGCAGAAUUAGGUCGAAACGCAUUCCGUCACAUCCAGGUCCAGCUUAAAAAUGGAAGCCACGAAAACGAUGCAUGCUUCUGUGUACACAACUAAAUUGUAGAUGAACGUUGGUCUAGGAUCGAUUUGAAUCGCAAUAUACUUGAUGCGGAAUAUCACCGAAAUCGCGAAGCGUACAAAAGAAGUAGGAAAUUGGAGGCGAGCAGACGAGAAAAACAACGACGACCAAGGCGCAAGAAGUAGGUCAAACAUACACCCACACACACUCGAACAUACAUAUAUAUUUACAUACUUGUUAUCCUCUGUACACAAUUUAAGAAGUAAAAACACUAAUUGUUAGAAUGUAAUCUCCAGGAAUCAGUACAGAAAUUAGACCCAUACAACUUCAUUUGACUACAAACGCGUGUAAAAAUGAAUCUGUAACAGGCUCAGAGUCAAGCUGUGCUUCUCUGCCAUAAGAACCAAUGUAUUUGACGUAACAGUGAGUAGCGGUGGCGCCUAAAUAGAGUCUGCGGCAAGUUUAGGAACUAUCAAUACGUCUUGUUGUUGCGAAAUUCAUGACAACAACAAAAAGUAUUGAUAGUUCUUAAAAAUGCCGCAAAUUGCUAAUACAUUUUAUUUAGGCGCCACCGCUAUCUUGCGCCGACCAAAAGUAUAGGUUGGCUAGAGUAGGGAGCUCUUAUACAUAUAGUUUAAGACCGUUGACUUUGAUACUUUGAAAUACUGGAAUUUACGAAAGAAAAAAACUGAACGGUGGCCACUUGCAAUCGGCAGAUAUCUUAUACCGAUUUGAUGAUAUAGAGUAAACCAUUUAUACAACCAACAAAAAAAGCAAGUAGUUAGUGCAAUUCGAAGCAUUCAUUUCAAAUUGCAAUCACAUCACACUUCUAAUCUCACAGUCUUCAUAACAUCAAUAGUUAGUUAAAAAAAUAGAAACAAAAACGAAACCAAUCAAUACACAUAUUUCAUUAAAUCGAAUUUAUUCCGCUCAUUAUAAUUCAAAACAUAUUUCUACCCAGCAAAAGACUAUUUAUGAAUAUUAAUUAGAUAAAAAAAAAUCAAUUUUAAAGUGUUUCAUAUUUCAUCGUUGUUACCUUUUUUUUCAUUUUCGAGACCGUAACAAUCAUUAAGAGGAUGUUGAAUAUGGUAUUCAAAAGACUUUGAACAUUUGGUUGAACCAAAUUUGCAAUUCCAAUGGACCAAGUUGUCCAUAUUUAAAUUUAAUGUUUAGAAAUAUAUGUUUAGCUAUCGGCGAUGAUUCAUCGAAUGGUUGUUCAUCAUCUGUUCGUUUAUUUUAAGUGCAUCAAUAUGAAAUAUUUUUCGGGAUAAAAUUCCAAUUUUAUCAGUUGUUGAUGCAUUCGAUGACACAUAAAAAAAGAAUGAGAGAAUCGAAUGAAUGAAACGUUUCAACGGUUUUAGGUGUGUAACAGAAAUGAAAUCAACUGUCUACAAUGGUUUAUUUAGAGAAAAAUGUAUCGUGGACAAAGGUAAUCUGAUAGAACAAUCAUAGCAUUCAAUUCAUUGAUCCAAUUGUCAUCGUUUGCUUGUGCAGCUGGGUUUUUUCUGUCGUGGAAAAAAAUUUAAGAUUUUUAGAAAGAAAACUUUAACUUUAAAAAUUCAUGAAAACGAAUUGUUUUCUAAUGGAAAAGAAAAGCAACAUUUAAAGCAAUGAAAAGCCAUAGCUCACUUGGGUUCGCUUGAAACUUUACAUGGAACUUAAGUUCGGUGAAUUUCGAUAUGAAAUCGAAAGCUUACCCUCUAAUCAGUAUUCAAGCCCAGGGAACGGCCAGUUCAACUCUGUGUCAAAAUGAAAUAAUUUACUUGUAUUCUCUUCGCAGAUCUCUCAAAUUUUUUUUAUACUUACAGGUCCAAGGUUCCCAUCUGAGGAGGUUUAUUACUGUAAGAAGAAUAGUAAAAAUUAGUUCAACUACUUUAACAGUUGAUUGAGAAACGGUAUGACUACAGGAACAUUGAAAAUUAGUCAAAUAAUUAUUCUGGGAAAAUCAGGGAAAUAUAUUCGAUUUAAAUAACUUACUCCACUUUAUUGCCGUGACCCUUGCCAAUCAUUUCCUGAACGACAUUUAAAAAGAAUUUAUCAUCGAAUAUUUCUCGACAAUUUGUUGCAUUAAGCUACUACAAUUGCGAAGUGAAAUGAUUUACUGAUUUACCUGAGGUUUUUUACUAACUGCAUCAGAAGAGCUAUUUAAAGUCGAAAUAAAAUAAUUUACUCAUGUUUUUCUCGCAGCUCUCUCAUAUUUUGUUAUACUCACAUGGGUGGUUGUGAUGAACCUAAUUUAUUUCCUUGUGCUGCUGGUACAUUUUUUAAUUCGAAAGAGACCGACUUUUUUGGUGGCUCAUUUUUCUAUUUUGUGGAUUAACGAAAAUUCAUAAUAAAUUCUAGAGUCAUGUAGAAUAUCGAUGCUGAUGCAAUUUAAUGCCUAAAUGAUAUUCAAAAAGAAUUUUUCAUCGGAUUGUUUUCGACAAUUUGUUACAUAUAGUAAAGCUACUACUUUUGCCAAGUCUCACAUUCCGUAUAAAUUUAAAAGAUUUUUUAAAUAUAAAUUUUUAAGUGUGUGCAAACACGUGCCUUGGAAAUAGUAUUUCAAUUCAUUUUCAACCUUUUUCUACUAAAUAUUGAACGUUUCCCUUGUUCAUCAGAAAUUCGAUUGAACUUUAAAUUUAUUUCUUCGACAAGUGUCAAAUAUAUUUUGUACGAAAGUGAUUUGAAAUAGUGGAAUUAAGGUGACAAAACUUAAUGAAAGGGCCAAAAAGUGCGAAAUAAAUAAAAAUGAUCCGACGAAAACAUGUUUUUUUCACCAUGACAACAUACCUCCAAUGCCUUUUGGAACUUUCCGCUUCCAGGUUUACCGGUUCCAGGUUCACCAGUUCCAGGUGUACCGCUGGCAUUGUGCAAAACAAGCACCUAGAUAGAG